UUUUUGCCUGGCCGGAGGCCCGAGGUUCAGCAUUUUAAAUGAAAUAUUUUCAGAUAUUGAUCUCUAUUUAACAAGGCAAAGGAUUUAUUUAUUUAUUAAUUAUGCAAAUGUUUAUAGUUAUCGUAAAUAAAUAUAUACGACUAGCUGUUCACCCAGCAAACGUUUUCUGUUCUUCUAUAAUUUUUUAAACCAAUGCCUCGCCUUUAAUGUGCGGUGCGUUUCCAGCCGAGCUUUGGUUUUAUUUAUAUUAUCCAUUAUCAUUAUCAUUAACAAAUUAAAAUUCUGGUUUCAAAACAGUUAAAACGAUGUUGCGAGACGAAAACACCUCUCUGCGAUGGAAGAUAACAACGCGACAAGCCUGACGCGCUGCGACGUUCAACAUUAAAAUCAGAUUACACAGCCCCACGGACACAACAUAUUGAAACAUGAAACAACAAAAACAACAACAAUGAGAGCAUCACCAGCACUGACAAUAAGAGCAGGCCAUAAAAGGAGGCGUGGCCCAGAGAUAAUACAAUUUGAAGGCUUGAAGAGCAUAGCCAGUCAUAUUUCACAUAGGGUAUACAGAAGUCGCGUGCAACUAAGCCCUGCCUCAGCGUUGCCAGCUCUCAGGCAUUCGAGUGGAUCUGCCCAUGAAGCGAAGUGCACACCGCAGAUUGAUAGUCAAACGAGCAGCUGGAUGACCAGGACAACAAUAAUAAUAACAACCAUCACAACCACCACCACCACCACCACCAACAACAACAACAAUAAUAA
rnacentral:sRNA from 1 species